rnacentral:tRNA from 1 species
GGGCAUAUGGUGUAGUUGGUUUAUCACGCUCGCUUAGCAAAGCAAUUGCGAGAGGUGUCCGGUUCAAUUCCGGAUAUGUCCA